rnacentral:piRNA from 1 species
UGUCUUAUUUUAUUGGACUUG